GGGGGCGAAACGGAUUCGACGGGGAUGUGUAAGCUCACUGUUGCAUGCCGAGCUUCUAUGCGCUCGUAAAAACAUAGAACUUAAAUAUAAUCGCAGACGAUUAUAACUACGCAGUAGCGGCUUAAUACCCGUCAUACUGCCGUCCCGCCGGUUUUCGCCCGUAAAACCGGAUUUGGGGCGUCGACUCAACGGGCUGGUUGUCUGAAGGCCGACUGUCCUUCAGCUGACGAGACUCAACAGUCUGGUUCCGGGAAAUCUAUGUUCCGACUGAGUUCCCGGCGCGACACCAAAGUACGGAACUAAGCAUGUAGAUACGGGAGGGGAGCAUUUUCGGACGCN
rfam:Desulfobacterales bacterium GWB2_56_26 gwb2_scaffold_1856, whole genome shotgun sequence.